rnacentral:rRNA from 1 species
UUCAUAGGGUGACGAACCGACGCCGCGUGUGGGAAAAGGCCUUCGGGUUGUAAACCACUGUCGGGAGUUAAGAAAUGCAAGGAUAUUAAUAGUGUCUUUGUUUGACUAAGGCUCCGGAGGAAGCCACGGCUAACUCUGUGCCAGCAGCCGCGGUAAUACAGAGGCGGCAAGCGUUGUUCGGAAUUAUUGGGCGUAAAGAGCACGUAGGCGGCUAUGUAAGUCGGUUGUGAAAGCCUUCCGCUCAACGGAAGAACAGCAUCCGAUACUACAUGGCUUGAGUGCGGGAGGGGAGAGUGGAACUUCUGGUGGAGCGGUGAAAUGCGUAUAUAUCAGAAGGAACGCCGGCGGCGAAAGCGGCUCUCUGGCCCAUAACUGACGCUGAGUGUGCGAAAGCUAGGGGAGCAAACGGGAUUAGAUACCCCGGUAGUCCUAGCCGUAAACGAUGGGCACUAAGUAGAGGGGUUUU